GACACCAAUAGCUCAGUUGAUAGAGUAUUUGCCUUGCAUGCAUAAGGCCCUGGGAUUGAUUCCCAGCA
rnacentral:tRNA from 1 species